rnacentral:rRNA from 1 species
GUUGAACGCUGGCGGCAGGCCUAACACAUGCAAGUCGAGCGGAUGAAGGGAGCUUGCUCCUGGAUUCAGCGGCGGACGGGUGAGUAAUGCCUGGGAAUCUGCCUGGUAGUGGGGGAUAACGUCCGGAAACGGGCGCUAAUAACGCAUACGUCCUGAGGGAGAAAGUGGGGGAUCUUCGGACCUCACGCUAUCAGAUGAGCCUAGGUCGGAUUAGCUAGUUGGUGGGGUAAAGGCCUACCAAGGCGACGAUCCGUAACUGGUCUGAGAGGAGGAUCAGUCACACUGGAACUGAGACACGGUCCAGACUCCUACGGGAGGCAGCAGUGGGGAAUAUUGGACAAUGGGCGAAAGCCUGAUCCAGCCAUGCCGCGUGUAUGAAGAAGGUCUUCGGAUUGUAAAGCACUUUAAGUUGGGAGGAAGGGCAGUAAGUUAAUACCUUGCUGUUUUGACGUUACCAACAGAAUAAGCACCGGCUAACUUCGUG